rnacentral:tRNA from 1 species
CCGGAAUAGCUCAGUUGGUAGAGCAGAGGACURAAAMUCCUCGUGCA